rfam:Pantoea sp. PSNIH2, complete genome.
UGGGGUCGCUGAAUUAGAGAUUGGCACCCUGACAUUCAUCAUUUAACUGGAGUUCAUUAUGUCUCUAAGUACCGAAGCUAAAGCAGAGAUCGUUGCUAAAUACGGUCGUGGCGCU